rnacentral:lncRNA from 1 species
UAUAAUGCACGGAUUCGCCGGAAAUCAACCCCGUGCAGUAUCCGAUUCGCGCGGGGGGCGGGUGCGGGCGCGAUUCGCGUGGGAUUCGCACGGGAUUCGCCACCUGGCGAAUCCCCCCAAAAAUCAAAAAAAAAAAAAAGGAUUCGCGAAUCGGGUGCGCCAAUCUCGCGAAUCCGGCUGUGGCGAGGGAGGUGGCGAUGGCGGCGUUCCGGCUGAGUCGUAGCUGUCGUUCCGAAGAGAUAUAGGGGAAGGAGGCGAUGUUUCCAGUGGAUCUCGCCGGAAAUUUUGAGGGGGAGAGACGGCUGCGUUUUCAGUUUUGUGUGAACUGCGGGCGUGAGUGCGUGAGGGGUCGUGAGGGAGGACAGAUGGGAGGCGGUUGCAAGAGUGGAUGGGUCGUGAGGGGGGCGCGGCUGCCGACGAUUCUCGCCGGAAGGAGGGUGGCGACGUGGUCAAUUUCGAGAGAGAGAGAGAUGAGGGAGCAGAUAGAGAGUUAGAGAGAGAGAGGGCGGCGGGUUGUGAGGAAAGAGAGAGAGAG